GAAAGGUGAAAAGGUGUGGAAGACCAGAAAAACCCUUCCUGCUUCCCCUGCUCAAGUUCCUUCAGCAGCUGUUGAAGGGCUGGCCUUUCUUUUAGAGCUGUGCUUUCCUAACGCAUACUGAAGAGGAAGAGAGAGAAAAACAAUAAUCUUUUUUCUUUGUUUGCUGUCCUGAAUUUUAUGGAUUAAGGAACAUACUAUAAAUAUGAUGUGCCCAACAGAGAGAAAACACCUUCUAGCAGCUAUUCUCAGAGACUGAUGUAGUCAAACCUCUUGUUCAGUCUUCUAGGAAAAAAGAAGACAGAGAAAUUCAGUUUUAUCAUUUUUUGCUUGUAGGAGGAAGGAAUGCAGAAAUUUAAAAAAAGACAAGUUAUAAAAAAAGACAAGUUAUAAAAGGGCUCUGCACUGUUUCUGAAGGGCAGUCUCAGCCAAUAGUGUGAUGCACUGACAGGUGUGCUCAGUGGACAUGGAAAAAAGGGAAGAAUAUUCAAUAUUCUUUUCUUUUUCUUCUUUCUGUGUUGUUAAAGGGAGAGCGAGGCAGUCCAGGCCCUGUAGGUGCUCCUGGAGAAAAAGGUGUCAUGGGCUAUCCAGGACCUCCAGGAGGCCCUGGACCUGUGGGGCCAGAAGGAUUACCUGGACCUUCAGGGGCACGAGGACCAUCAGGGCCACAGGGACCUAAGGGAAGAAGAGUAAGUACUAAUGCUUCUUCAUGUUCCUUAGAGCAGAGAGUGGUGUAUUGGAAAUAUGAAUCUGAAAUAUAACCCGCUUACAGCUGCUCCCUUUGUCCUCUGGACUGAACUCAUUUGGACUGAAAUCAGAUAGACUAUACUUGUAUUUCCAUGUAGGAAACAAUAUGAAUCUUCAUUUCUCCUCACAGUGAAAUGGGCUUUAGCAUUGGUCUCAGCUGAGCGCAAAACUAGAACCAAGAUGACCACUCAACUGUUUUCUGUACACAUAAACAUGCAAAAGUUCUCAUUU
rnacentral:lncRNA from 1 species